CAGGACAUCAACCUACAUCUUCUGAAUGCAACCCAGACUCUUUAAAUUAAGGUAAAGUCCUCUAGAAUGA
rnacentral:tRNA from 1 species